ensembl:lncRNA
CAAACAGCUUGGGUGUGGUGGGUGAGGCUUUUGGGUGGAGUCGAAAUGCAGCUUAACCGCCAUCAGGAUUUGGCAAGAUAAGGCAAUUUUAUUUGUAUAGCACUUUUCAUACACAAGGCAGACUCAAAGUGCUUCACAUAAUAACAUUUAUUAGGGUAAAGGCGAAGCUGAACAUACGUUUUCAGUCUUGUUUUAAAUGUGGUCAGAGUUGGGGCAAGUCUUAAAUCUUCAGGAAGUUUAUUCCAGCUGUUUGUUGCGUAGUAACUAAAUGAUGCUUUCCCAUGAUUUGUAUUUACUCUGGGAAUCGCUAACAGAUUGGUGUCAGAAGAUCUUAGUGAUCUUGAAGGCUUAUGUAGUGGAAGCAUAUCAGUGAUUUACUUUGGCCCUAAACCAUGUAGUGAUUUAUGUGAGCAGUAGGAUUUUGAAAUGAAUUCUCUUGACAUACUGGGAGCCAAUUUAAGAAUUGGUGUAAUAUGCUCACAUUUUUUGGUCUUUGUUAGUGUUUCUGAGUCUUGAGCUGACAUGAGCCCUCUAAGUCGUGCUACAUUUUGAGAUGGUAGUAGGCCGAUUUUGUUACUGAUUUGAUGUGACUCUCCAAGUGUAAAUCUGAAUCCAGAAUAACCCCCAGAUUUCUGGCUUUAUUUGAUGUUUUCGGGGACAGAGUGAAGGUGUUGGGUUACUUUAAACCUUUCUUUUUUAGCACCAAAUACAAUGAGCUCAGUUUUGUCUUCAUUUUUAGGAAAUUUUGACAGAUCCAGUCUUUGAUUUGCUCAAUGCACUGGCACAGAAGAUCUAUGGGGCGAUAGUCGUUUGGUGAUAGCGCUACAUAGAUUUGGGUGUCAUCAGCGUAGCAAUGUGGUAAAUUUUUCAUAUUUUUGAAUGAUUUGUCCUAGUGGGAGCAUGUAGAUGUUGAAUAAAGUCGGCCCUAAGAUCGAACCCUGGACUCCACACGUUACGUUGGUUGUUUCUGAUACGAAGUCACCAAUGGAAACAAAAUAGUUCCUGACAACUGAAGGCUCUGGCCCCCAGCCUACUUUUUAAAACCAUAGGAACAACAAGUAACCAAGCAUCUAUGGAGCACAGCUGCCUUGUAGGGCAAUAAGGUGUUACAAGCUCUUUAAGAUACAACGGUGCCUCACCAGCAAGUGCCUUGUAGGUGAGAAGUACCUUCAAAUCUAUUCUUGAUUUAACAGGGAGCCAGUGCAGAGAAGUUAAUACAGGAGUGAUAUGAUCCUUUACUUAGUUCUUGUUAAUACACGUGCUGCAGCAUUCUGAAUCAACUGGAGAGGCUUAAGAGAUUUAAAAGAGCAGCCUGAUAAGAGAAUUACACUAGUCCAGUCUGGAAGUGACAAGCUCAUGAACUAAUUUUUCUGCAUCAUUUUGAGACCGGAAGUUCCUGAUUUUUGAUAUGUUACGUAGAUGAAAAUAGGCAGUCCUUGAAGUCUUCUUUAUAUGAGAGUUGAAGGUCAUAUCCUGGUCAAAACUCCCAGAUUCCUUACUGUGCUGCUGGGUACCAGAGCAUUUCCAUCCAUAAAAACUGUUUAACGUGACAGCUGGCUUCGAAGGCGCUCUGGGCCUAUCAGGAUAACUUUUUUUACCGUAAACGAUAACCGUUUUUUUUCUGAGUUUAGCAUCAGGAAGUUGCCGGUCAUCCAAGUUUUGAUGUCUCAAAGACAUUCUUGAAGUCUAACUAGCUGGUCCGUCUCUUCUGGCUUGAUCGACAGAUACAGUUGAGUAUAGUCUGCAUAACAAUGGAAGUUUAUGUGGUGUUUCCUGAUCCAGAUCGCCCAAAGGAAGCAUAUAGAGGGUAAAUAAAAUCUGUCCAAGUACAGAACCUUGUGGGACUCCGUGACCAACAUUGGUGGUCUUUGAGGAUUCACCGUUUACAAGCACAAACUGGGAUCGAUCCGAUAAGUAGGAUUUAAACCAGCUGAGUGCAGUUCCUUUUGAUACCAAUUGAACGUUCUAGUCUCUACAACAGGAUACAAUGGUCUAUGGUAUCAAAUGUGGCACUGAGGUCCAGCAAGAAAAGAGAUGAGUCCUUGGUCCGAUGCAAGUAGAAGAUCAUUCGUAAUUUUCACCACUGCUGUUUCUGUACUGUGAUGCACUGGAAAUCCGCAACAAAGCAUUGUUUUGUAGAAAGUCACAUAAUUGAUUUGCGACGGAUUUCUCAAGGAUCUUGGAGAGGAAGGGAAGAUUAGAGAUAGGUCUGUAGUUAGCCAACACCUCUGGAGCAAGAGUAGUUUUUUUUUUUUUUAAGAAGAGGUUUAAUUACAGCUACCUUGAAGGACUGUGGUACAUGUCCUGUCAACAAAGACAGAUUCAUAAUAUCUAAUAAGGAUGUGCUAACUAAAGGAAAAACUGCCUUAAACAGCUUGGUCGGAAUCGGAUCCAAGAGACAAGUAAAAGAUUUAGACUUUGAAAAUAAAGAAGUCAGUUGAUCAAGGUUGAUGGAAGAGAAGGCAUCUAAACAGGCAUCAGGGCCCACCUCUGCAAUCAAGGUUCCUACAUCGGAGGACAGGUCGGCACUGGUUGUAGGCAGGAGACCAUCAAUUUUCUCUUUGAUAGUCAGAAUCUUAUCAUUGAAGUUCAUGAAGUCGUUACUAGUGAGGUCCAAAGGAAUACACGGCUCGACAGAGCUGUGACUGUCAGUCGGGCUACAGUGCUGAAGAGAAGCCUGGAGUUGUUUUUUAUUUUUCUCUAUUAAUGAUGAGUAAUAAGAUGCUCUUGCGUUACGGAGAGCAGUCUUAUGUUUUAAGGCUGUCUUGCCAAACUAGCCUAGAUCCUUCUGAUUUGGUGGUACGCUAUAAUCGUUCAAGUUUCCGCACGGACUGAGGUUCUCACAGGAGUCUUCUUGUAUCUUGAGGCAGGGCACUGAAUUUGGAGCAGAAGGAAUGGCUUCUUUAAAUGAGGCUACAGCGGUAUCCGAUAAGCGUCGACUGUAGAAACCCUUGGCAGGAGGAGGUGGUUCUGAUAGUAGAAAUUCAAAGGUUAUCAG